UGAUCCUCCCUCCGCUAUUUUUGCCUGUCUCGGGUCAUUCUCCACUCAGCAGCUAGAGUGGAUCAUUAGAAACGUAGGUCAGAUCAGACCAUCCCUCCCCUUUUUUCACUCUUUUUUAUUUCCCUCCCACCCCCUCGCCCUUCCAAGUGUCCAUGGUCAUCAUUCCACACUCUAUGUCCACAUCUACCCAUUAUUUAGCUCUCACUUGUAAGUGAAUACAAAUUUUUAAAAUACAAUUGACAAAAUCAAAAAUUCAAUAAAAGAGCUAGAAGCAAAACACUGAUCUUUCGGAUUAUAAAUUUAAAAUGCAAAGAUUCCCAGCCAAACAACAAAGGAGUGCAAGAAAGUGACAGACACAGUAGUGUUAACCCAGGAGAGCGUGAAAAGAUACUCUAGGGUGAUCGCUGUGCAACAGCUAGAUCCAAAUUAGAACCUAGAAAAAUAAGAAAAUUCAGAAGCUCUAAACUAAGUGUAUUCAUAAAGAAAAUUGAUUCCCUGCAAGAAACUUUAUGGGCGACCGAGUGAGACUCCGUUUCAAACAAAAAAAAAAAAAGAAAGAAAGAAAAGAAAAGAAACAGAAUGGAAUGGUGGUUACCAGUGGCUGAGGGGAGGGGAGAUGGGGAGAUGUUGGUCAAGGAGUACAAAUUUUCAGUUAUGCAAGAUGAAUAAGUUCUGGAGAUCUAAUAUACAGCCUGGUGACUA
rnacentral:lncRNA from 10 species